rnacentral:sRNA from 1 species
GUUAUCAACAGAGGAAUCUCCAAUGGUCCAGGUGAGCCUGGGAUGCAGGCACCCGUGGUCUCCACGUCCGGAUACAGCUUGUAAGAUUGAUUUCUGUGUUUCUCCAACUGACUCAAGUGGACAAAGUACCAGGAUUUUCCUGCCUUAGGCAAUCUCCGUACCGCUCAUCCUUACUGUAUCCUUCUUGUCUAACGACGGUUCCAGUCAUCCUGGAUGUGAAGAUGAAUCAGCUGGUCAUCUCCUGCUUCUGUGUAAGCGCGCAUCCAGAGGCUCAGCGUUUCUGGUCCUGGGUGGUGGGAAGUGCUUCAGCAGAGCCAGGGCAGAGACUUCUGGGCAGAGUGGAUUUGUGUGUGAAAAUAGACUUCUGAGUCUCUUGGGCUGAAUGUUUGGAAUGUACUGAGGUCUUUUAGCCUAGGCCUUAGCCUGUACACUUCUCCUACCAGAGCCCUGAUCUACAGUGCAGACUCUUCUUGGUGCUUCAAGGUCCACACAGUACCAGUUGGUCUGCAGAUCUUUUUCCGGCUAAUGGCUUCAAUAUGUCCUCUGUCGUGGCAAAGUUUGGGUUUGGUUCUAGGAAUGAUAGAAAUUUUAUUGUCUUCUCUGAGCUUUCUUAGAGAUUUUAGUCCCUGCCACUAUUUGUGUUGGGCUGGGUAAAGAAGAUGUUGUCAAUAGCAAUGAGGGUUCAGCCCUCUCUUCCCCGUGUAAAAUAUUUUUAAGUGCAGAGCUGGCUGGCUGCCAGGCUGUAGUUGGGAAAACUGAAACAAAAAAACCUCUUCAGGAGCCACAAACUAGGCUCUCCCUGGUGUGAGUACAGUUUAUGCCAAAGAACAAAGUUUGUGGUCGGUGAGAUUGAAAGGUGCUUUGAAUGAAUCAGUUAAACUAGCAAAAAGCCCAGACUUCUGCGGUCACAACCUAAAGAAACAGCCUUUGGCCUCUGCCUUCCUAGCUGGUCCCAGGAGAAAUUUCCUACCUGUGCGCCUCUUAGGGAAUCUCACCCCAGGCUUGUGGCAGCCUCUGUCUGGAAAAAUCUAUUCUGGCAGAGCACAGAGCUAGCUCAGCUCCUCCCUUCUUUCCUAGACUCAGCAGAGGAGGACCCUGUUCGCUAUGGUGCCAACAACUGUGAGCAGCAGCCAAGGCAGGGGAGCCUGGGGGUGCGGAUCCUCUCCAGGAGAUCUAACAGAACUGCAAGUCUUCUCCACCAGCAGAUGGCGACUGAUAGACCACGCUAGAACAAGCCUUGCUUCAAGACCGAGGUCUGCGCAUGCUCCUUGAACACCAGGCUGCGGGCUGUUCCAGAUGUAUGCUAGAGUAAACAGCAUUGCAUUACUUCCCCGGUGUCCUCAUUUGGGACCUGAACCUCUGGUUUCUUGCUUCCAGGACAGAAGGGAGGAGCCAAGCUGACAGGAUUGCUGUGUUCUCUGCAAGAAUCAGUUGCCCAAGAUGCAGCUGUCACCUGAUUAUAAAUCUCCUAACACCUGGGGAGCAAGGCACAGGCCAUGGAUGAAGAUUUUCCCGGGUGGGGACACAAACAGGCUGAGCCUCUCCUGUUCUCCCUGGUCUAUCAACCUCACAGGCAGGUAACUGGCUCCACAGCACAAACAGCUUUCAGCAGGGGGAGGUAAAGAGAUAAGGGCGUCUUUCUCAAUUUCUCUGUUUCAGUUUCUCUGUGGUACACAGUUUAGGACAACUGUGCCUGCUUAGCGGCUUGGUGCGCUGGGGCAAGACCUUCUGCAGCCAGCUGGCUCUGCAUUUUAAAAGUCUCCCAGGCACUUAAAUCAGCCAAUCCUGGUUUGGCAACCACCACCCACCCUCCAAAAAUCACAAGCACGCUGGGGUUGGGGUGGGGAACAGUAUAAAUGUGUCAUUCCUAAAAACAGAAAGUAAAUGUUCCCACAGAAGAGGAAAUGGAGAGUCUGUCAGCAGCCAGGAAAAGGAAACCUAAGGCAGAUCAUGGCUGAGCAGAUGUAGAAGAGCCUAGACAAUUCAGUCACUGCAGGGUGAGGGCUGCUGGAUCACUGGGGAAGGUACUGGUCUGGCUUCUGAGUACUUGGGACAGGGCUCCCUGAGGAUGACCUCGUGCUGGUCCUGAUUGGACCUGGAUUUCCAGAGGACUGGAGUUCAUCUGCAUCCUGUCGGCCACAGUCAGGGAGUGGCUAAAAACACACAGACAAGCCCAGACACCACUGAGCUGCCUCCCUUCUAGCUGUGCUGGCCCUGGUCACCCUGACACCUUAAAACUGCCUGCAUUGAGCAAAGGGAAUUUCCCCUGCUGGCUCAGAAAUCUUGCAGAAACCUGGAGGCCCGGCUAAAGAGGACCUUGUGGCCAUUUACUGACAGAAAUCUGCCCCACCCAGAAGCAGCUGAUCUUGUUCUGAGACCAUAGCAGCGAGGAGCCUUUGAUCUCCAUCCUGGAUGAAUGUUAAUUCCAGAUAGAAGCCAUCCUUAGAUGGGAUGGGUGGUGGGUGUGUGGACGGCAGAUACAGAAAGGGGAUGACAGGAAGACCAACAGCAAUCCAGGCAGCAAAGCCUUGUAGUUGUCUGUAUGAGUCAGGACUACACAUAACGGGGCAAUCACACUCCGGGAUGCGUCCAGACCUGGAGACAUGUGGAACCCUCUGGUCAGGUUAUGGCUAUCCCUGCUCACCAAGUCUGGCAACUCAACAUCCAGCAGUGCCCUUGCACUAGUUAAGAAAAAGCAACUGAAUUUGCAAAAGGGAGCUGCAAUGUUGGCUGAAUGUAAGCAGCAGCAGAAUCAAUCCCAUCACUGCCAAGACACAGUUGCUGAUGCAGGAUUCUGAACUUCAGAGGAAACAAAGUAAUUCUCCCUGUGGAGACAUUGAACCUGAGAUCAAAGAAGCUUUGAGGAGAGAAAGAGGCUGAGAGCAGAACUGCACCAGGCCAUUCAGAAAGGGUAUCUUGAAGAGAACUCCUGGAAACUCAGAANGUUUGGUUGUAAAGCAAGGUAAGUUCAGUGGACAGUGAAGGAGCCUCGUAUGAAAUCCUCUCACAAAACUGUCUCUGAGCCCAAAAUCAAUGGUCUGCUUCCUGUCACAUAACACAAGAAAGGUCUUUCAGCAAUGUGACUAUCAUGCUUCUGUUUCAUGCUGCCCCGCCUUCUGUCUGUGGUGGUGAAGUCUAACCCCUGAGGUUCAAACUGCCUUAGAGGUUUGAAAGCCUGAGAUACAUUUCUUGUAUUUUUUAACUCCUGGUGAAGUGAAAACAAUGGACCUCCUCUUCCUGCUGCUGUGCUUGCCCUGCUGUGAUGGACUUCACUGGAACUCUCUUACCCAAAAGAAGUCUUUCUUGCAUUUUGGGGGUGUGAGGAAAGCAAAUAAACAUCGUUUGGGGUUUCGUUUGUUUGUUUUGUUUUGUUUUGUUUUUUAGAGCUUAAAAACAAAAUGACUAAAAGUGGUUGACUCUGUUUCUCCUAGGCCUGGAACCAGAAAUAACCUGAGAACUUGCUGGUGUUGCAGUCUUCCAAGAGCUGCAAGAAAUAUCCGGGUACCCAGAGGUGGUAGUGAAACUACAGCACCUCGAACACAUGCACCCUGAUUGUAAUUGAUAGCUAUAAGCAUGGAAGAUUUGUCAUUCUUUAUAAAUAUGUUGUUUCAUUCAUUCUUCCA